CAACGAAAAACUUCAGAGGUCCUAAGAAGUUAAUGAAAAGGAAGUAAGACUUUGCAACUUUAUCGUAAUGAUUAAGGGCUCUGACCACAUCCAGAAUGUAUCAGCUUGUCCUGAUCACUGUCUGGCUUUGGGAAGAAGGUUCUGCAAUCUUUAACGUAUUCACCAAGACUGCCCUUGGCUCCUGAGAACAGGCACAAUACCUCAGAAACAUUGCAUGAGAUGAGAGGCUAUCAUGUCUAGAACGUCUCACCUAUGGUCCAGAGUUAUAAACACCUACGGAUGGAGACACGAGUGGAAC